rnacentral:rRNA from 1 species
GCAGAACGCGAAGAACCUUACCAGGGCUUGAAUGCAUUAUGACAGGGGUGGAGACACCUUUUCCUUCGGGCAUUUUGCAAGGUGCUGCAUGGUUGUCGUCAGCUCGUGCCGUGAGGUGUCAGGUUAAGUCCUAUAACGAGCGCAACCCCUACCGUUAGUUGCCAGCGGGUCAUGCCGGGGGACUCUAGCGGGACUGCCGGUGCAAACCGUGAGGAAGGUGGGGAUGACGUCAAAUCAUCACGGCCCUUACGUCCUGGGCCACACACGUGCUACAAUGGCCGGUACAGAGAGCGGCCACGCCGCAAGGCGGAGCGAAUCUACAAAACCGGUCACAGUUCGGAUCGGGGUCUGCAACCCGACCCCGUGAAGCUGGAAUCGCUAGUAAUCGGAUAUCAGCCAUGAUCCGGUGAAUACGUUCCCGGGUCUUGUACACACCG